CUCCUCACCUGGCAGGGAGAUACCAUGAUCAUGAAGGGUGGUUCACCCAGGGCGAGGCUCAGCCGUGCACGCCCUAGGUUGUGCUGACCAGUCAUAGUCCCCAAUUGUGGGAAUCUCGACUGCAUAAUUUGUGGUAGUGGGGACUGCGUCAAGCUCCCCU